GUCAGUGGAGGAGUCAAGGAUCUCUUAUCCCAAGUGACCAAUGAAGAUAUAAUAAUGGCCCGUGGAUGUAGCUUGACUCCGUUUCAGAGACCAGAAAGGACAUCCCAUCAGACCAAAACUAUUCAAGUGCAGAAGGGAAUAGAACCAUCCACCAUUUGUGUACCACUCCUGCUAGUCAAGUCAUGCCUGUUGAGUUACAGCUUGCUUCUAGAAUCUGCCACAUUCAAAACCUGACCACUGCAACAGCACAGUUUAACCAGCAGAGGACAGCACUUGGACAUAAAUCUCAUCCUGAAAAGAAGAGGCUGUUAUGUGAAGGUGUUUCUGUUGAUUCUACUGGGGUUUCAGCACAGACAGACUGUGUUUCCCAUAUGCCUAAACAGACGUCAGAUGUUCAGGAGGACUGGCAGACAAUGGCAGAGUAUUACAUGGAAAGACCAAGGAUUAUGAUGUGUGGACGUGCUGCAAAAAAGAUCUAUUAUUUUAUGACUCACCAUCAGUGGCUAUCAGCAAAGUGACUAAUGCAUGACAUUGACAACUAGAUGUGUUGAAAUAACACCAAGGCUCUGGUUUUAAGGAAGUACAUGCAAAAUUAUUUAUUUAAAACUGAUUUUUUUACAUCUGUAACAUUUCUUGUAUAGAUUAUAUGUAAAACUGUAAUACAUUUUUAAACACUUGUUUCAUUCAAUCAUAGUAGAACCUAAUUAAUUUAAAUUUAGUCUCAUGUAGCCUGACCUUCAGACUGAUGUGUGUAUGCGUGACCACGUCUGAGGCUGAGACUAGAUCAAAUUAUAAACAAAAUUUCCUGUGUACUUGUAAUAUCCUGUCGCUAGAUGGCAGUAGACACGCAUUAUUUUCCUGAUAGAAUUAAUGGAUGAAUUCAAGAGUUUCAUAUUUCUUAUUAUUCAGGCUCCUGGGUUAUUAAAUGUGGACUGUUGCAUAAAUUUCACAUUAAGCCCUUUAAUUAUCACUUGAAUUCUUUUAUUUGAUUUUUGAUUGAUUGAACAGUUCUCUCCAACUUCCAAUUAUUGUAUUUCUUUAUUUCUCAUAGGCAACAUUGUGUCCCAGUGAGCUCAGAAUGUUCUGGAACCCAGCACCUCCUAAAUUCAUCUGUGCCCCCUUUGUUAUGAAAGACACACUUUUCCCCAAAUACCAGAUAAAACUGGCACACCUGUGCAAAGAGAAUCUGUUGGAUGAGCUGCACAAUGUGGUGGAGUCAGUUAGCCAUGUGAUGGACACAGAACAGGCUACUUCUGAGGUUUUUUUAUUUAAAGAGAAUGUCUAAAGAGGAAGUUUUGGAAAACAAAUUUGGAAAAGUUGGUUUCUUUAAAACAUGAAAAAAGUUUCUUUUUUAUUUUUGUGUAAUACUUAUUUUUGUGUAAUUGACAAAAUGGCAUAACAAUGGAACUCUUUACAAACAUUAUUCUGAAAAGUGUAUAUGUGUAUGUUUUUGUGUUUUUAUACACUACUGUUCAAAACCUUAUGGUCAGUAUGAUAUUUU